rnacentral:tRNA from 1 species
GGCGCGAUGGCCGAGCGGUCUAAGGCGCUAGAAUCAGGAUGUUGUCCUAUCUAGUCUUCACGGGCGGGGGUUCGAAUCCCCCUCGCGUCA